GCCGCAGUAGUUCAGUGGCUAGAAUAUCACGUUGUGGCCGUGAAGACUCUGGUUCGAUUCCAGAUUGUGGCA
rnacentral:tRNA from 1 species